CCUACGGGGGGCAGCAGUGGGGAAUAUUGCACAAUGGGCGCAAGCCUGAUGCAGCGACGCCGCGUGAGGGACGAAGGCCUUCGGGUUGUAAACCUCUUUCAGCGGGGACGAAGCGAGAGUGACGGUACCCGCAGAAGAAGCACCGGCUAACUACGUGCCAGCAGCCGCGGUAAUACGUAGGGUGCGAGCGUUGUCCGGAAUUAUUGGGCGUAAAGAGCUCGUAGGCGGUCUGUCGCGUCGGUUGUGAAAACCUGGAGCUCAACUCCAGGCCUGCAGUCGAUACGGGCAGACUAGAGUUCGGUAGGGGAGACUGGAAUUCCUGGUGUAGCGGUGAAAUGCGCAGAUAUCAGGAGGAACACCGGUGGCGAAGGCGGGUCUCUGGGCCGAAACUGACGCUGAGGAGCGAAAGCGUGGGGAGCGAACAGGAUUAGAUACCCU
rnacentral:rRNA from 1 species